CCCUUAGAUGUCCGGGGCCGCACGCGCGCUACACUGAUGCAUUCAACGAGCCUAUCCUUGACCGACAGGUCCGGGUAAUCUUUGAAUCUGCAUCGUGACGGGGAUAGAUUAUUGCAAUUAUUAAUCUUCAACGAGGAAUGCCUAGUAGGCGCAAGUCAUCAGCUUGCGUCGAUUACGUCCCUGCCCUUUGUACACACCGCCCGUCGCUCCUACCGAUUGAAUGCUCAGGUGAGCCAUUCGGACUUUCAUCAUGCUGGUUUCCAGUUUUGAUGAAGGAAAGUCUUGCGAACCUUAUCAUUUAGAGGAAGGAGAAGUCGUAACA
rnacentral:rRNA from 1 species